rnacentral:rRNA from 1 species
CCUACGGGAGGCAGCAGUGGGGAAUAUUGGGCAAUGGAGGAAACUCUGACCCAGCGACGCCGCGUGCGGGAUGAAGGCCUUCGGGUUGUAAACCGCUUUCAGCAGGGAAGAAGCGAAAGUGACGGUACCUGCAGAAGAAGCACCGGCUAACUAUGUGCCAGCAGCCGCGGUAAUACAUAGGGUGCAAGCGUUGUCCGGAAUUAUUGGGCGUAAAGAGCUCGUAGGUGGUUCGUCACGUCGGAUGUGAAAAUCUGGGGCUUAACCCCAGACCUGCAUUCGAUACGGGCGAGCUUGAGUAUGGUAGGGGAGUCUGGAAUUCCUGGUGUAGCGGUGGAAUGCGCAGAUAUCAGGAGGAACACCAAUGGCGAAGGCAGGACUCUGGGCCAUUACUGACACUGAGGAGCGAAAGCGUGGGGAGCGAACAGGAUUAGAUACCCUGGUAGUCCACGCCGUAAACGGUGGGCACUAGUUGUGGGGACCUUCCACGGUCUCUGCGACGCAGCUAACGCAUUAAGUGCCCCGCCUGGGGAUACGAUCGCAAGAUUAAAACNCAAAGGAUUGACGG